UUGCAGUGAGCCAAGAUUGAGCCAUUGUGUUCCAGCCUGAGGGAAAAAAGCGAGACUCUUUCUAAAACAAAACAAAACAAAACAAACAAACAAAAAAUGAGGAUGUGUGCUUCACUGUCACACAGAUCAUGUGAACCUGGGACAAAUCUUCGCUCUGCCUCUUUACCAGCCGCAGGGCUUCCAGUUAUUUACUGACUCCCUCUCAGUAGGGAUUUCUCUGUAGAAUGGAGAUAGUAAUACCCGCCUCAGAGUGCUGUUGUAAAGGAGAGGGAGAUAAAGGCAGUCUGGCAUUUAGCAGAGUGCUCAGCAUGCAUAGUUUCUCAGUUCAUUUUCUUCUCUUAUCACCAAGUCUUGACUCAAUGCUCUUAGGACCCACACCAGGCUGCUGAAAGAUUCUGAGUGUCUUUGGUAACCAGAUCAUUUCCACAGUCACUUCUAAGUCCCUAGACUGCAUUAAAUUAUCAUCAUUUCAUUUUGUUUCUGAGAACCAUGUGAAUGGCUUCUAAUCAGUUUACUCCUCAGGGCAGGAUUAGACUAAGACCUUAUAGAUCAGAUCUGCAUGUCCAUGAAAGCACCAUCCAUUUUGCAAGAGACCCAGACUCUUCCUGUUUGCUAUAGAUAAAGGUCCAGGACUUGCCUCUGUUGGAGUGACCUUCACUGAGCUAUUCACAGGGUAUCUGGGAGUUGGAUUCCAAAUGUGGGCUAGAGCAAGUAAAAAAUCCUGUUGACUGGUGGAGAAUAAGAUGCAGCAGCCAGACUUAGGAAUGAAUCCUUUAUGAGCUCUAACCCCCAUUUCUGUCUCUUGUUAAAUGUUGCCUUUGCAUAAGUUACUUACCAGUGGUUGGUGAUUUUAAUUUUAUCUAUAAAAAUUUAAUUUUAUCUAUAAAAAUAGGAUCUGAUACACACUUUUGCAGGAUUUUUAAGAUAUAAAUAAAUUAAGGUAUGUGAAGCACCCAGCACUGUGCUGGCACAUUGGAGUGGUUGAAUUAAUAGCAGCAUUCAUUAUUUCUACUGCUUACCAGAGACACCGCCAGUCACAUAAAUGGCCAUUGCAACUGCCAUUGAAAAUCCGACAUUGAUCGUGAUGAUCCCUCCAAAACUUCCCCGACUGAGAAUAGCUUGGGCAACAGACCCGCAUCCAAGGACCUGGAAUGAGAGAGAAACUCAACAAAUGCUGAAAUGGCUUUUCUUAGGAGGAUAAUCAAUGCUGUGUGCUGCAGGAAAUAGGAGGAGAGAUGGAGCAAUGUGGGGACUUCAGUUACCCUCAUCAGAAACGCUGCUCAGAGGAUUGGAGCCCAGAUUUCCAGCACUGCAUCAUAAUUUAGAAAUGUAUUUGCUGUAGCCUGAAAAGCAACAAGGAAGCCAGGAAACAUAUAAACAGAAACAAGAAUUUGGAUGAGCGAAUACUCUGUGCUGCUCGAGGGAAGAGCACAGUGGAAGUCCAAGGGUGAGUGUGUGCCCAGGGCAGGUGAACUGGGCUCUGAGCUGAUUCCUGGGAUGCAUGAUUACAUCAGCCUGUGCUCAGCUUCUCCACCAAUAAAAAGGGCCAGUGAUAUCUGCCCACCCUUAUCUCAGAGCUCUCCUGCCAGUACCUGGACAUUCCAAAUAAUGUAUUAGACCAAAAUUGUCCUGGAUUCUGCCCUGCAAAGUGGAUGUCUCCUUUAAUUUGGCUUAUGAACUUUCUGAUUUCACUCUAAAUCCUGACCAUAGAUUCUUUUGUCUCAAAUGCUCCCUAAGAUAGAAUAGACCUACUUCAAGACCUGAACAAACUUUGUUUGUAAUAAUAAUUUUAGCCCUAGAGUACCUAUAACCAGCAUAUGUGAUUGAGAAUCCUCUCAAAAUGGAGUGACAAACUCUGUGACCCCAGCAAGGAGGGACACUUUCUCACCCAGUCCUGGCAGAAGGUAGGAGCAGGAAGAAGGGAACACUGCAGUGUCUGAAAUUUCUCACAUACAAUUGACCAUCCCCGUCCUUCCUUCCUCCUUCCUGUACUGCCCACUCCCCUAUUUCCUCCAUAGUCUGUGUUCCAGGAUAGUUUCUUUCUAUUUCCUUCAGGGCACUCAAGGUAAAGAUCAAGGGUACUACUUUUAGCAGAAGUACUUGCAUUUUUUUUUCCAUUCUAAGAGAUGCCCAAAGUUAGACCUCAAAUGUGGAAGCUUGACAGGAUGAGAAAAGAAUUUAGGAUCUGUCCGACUGCAUAGUAUGUUAUCUACUCAAAAGUCCAGCCCUGGAAGGCUGUCCUUCCACCUCAGGAGGAAAUACGGCUGCUUGCUGCAUUGUUCCUUCAGCAAUAAGAUGAGCUUUGUAUCAAAGAAUCCUGAAAAGUUUGAAGAUAGAGGAGAAUAUACAGUGUAGUAGGAGUGAGCAUAGUUCCUGUGAGAAAUGACUAGACAUGAUUAGAGAUUCUGUGAAGUUCAGCCUAAGGAAGAGAUCAGCCUUUUGCAUUGCAAACUUUCCCCCCACACUAGUAAAGGUGAAAGGCCUACCUAUCCCGAUGACUAAAAGGCCACAUUAGAGCUAGCUUUUUGGCUUAUGACUUAAUUGGUGUUGGUUUUAAUUGUAGUUUAUAAAGAAUUUUUCAUGGACCUUCUUUUCUCUUAAUGCUACCAGUAGGCCUUAUCAGUCUUUUACACCAACUGUUCCCAAUCUUUUGGCACCAGGGACCACCUGUACCAGUCUGUGGCCUAUAGGUUGGGGACCCCUAAUUUAUAUCAUGGUAUGGAUUAGUUUGAGAUGCUCCCCAUAAGAGCAGUUUUUGAAAGAAGGGAAAAAAAUAGCACCAGACUCCCCAGGUCGAGGGAAAAAACCGAUCUCACAUGUUUAAAGGACUGAGUCCUUCAUGUCCUCUGCCAUCUUUUUAAUGUUUCCCUUCCCUUUGCCUUAUCAAUAUACAAAGCUUUUUACUAGAAAAUACAAGGCAAAAUGCACAUUCUCUAAUAAAGCAGAAACAAUUACUUUGGAUAAACUGAGCAAAACCAUGUAGAUUUCUUGGUUUAUAAAAAAUUGUGUUUGUGCAGGAACUUUUUGUUUAUACAUCCCCCCUAGCUCCAACAAAACUGAAGAUGAUAAUCAAGUUUGCAGAUUUUAUUAGGGUUCACUUUAGAAAAUAAACGUAUGGUAUAAAUGGAAAUUAAAUAUUUUGGGAAAUGACUGGCUUUAUCCAGAAGAUAUAAGGUUUAAUUUUUCAACAGACAAUAUCAAGAUGUUCUUUAUUAAACCCCUACCUUGCGUAGUGGGGAAGACACAAGACUAGCUGAGCAGUGAACGGCUGAAAGCAACUUUCACUUACAGCGCAGAAAGCGUGAGAUUAUGAAACAGGUUCUUCUUAAGAAAUACAGAAGGUUUUAAACUUUUUGGUUGCAAAAAAAAAAAAAAAAAAGGAUGUGUAGUUCACUUCCUCCUCUGUUUUCUGCAGAGCACUAAGAAUUGUAACUGAAUUAGCUUCACUUUUCUGACCCACUCGUCACUGUGAGGCUGUAACCAGUCUGUACUGACAACUGCUUUCCUCUUUGGGGCCAGAUUGUCGGGUAACAUGACAGAGGGGUCUCAGUCUCCCUAAGAAAGAUUUUCCAGUAAGCAGUGACUGGGAAUCAUAAGAAUCACUGACUUUUAUCUUCUCUCUUUUCCUUCUAACUCCUCUUACUACAUUAUGACAGUGAGUGUGGUCAGAGCAGCCAACAAUGAAUGCCAAGGGAAGAUGAGGAGUGCAAGAAAUUGUCCAUAGCUCCCUGAAAAUACUUUAACGAAUCUGGUCUAAUGUGUCUCUCAGAGACCAGAAAACUUACGACUGUCUCUUCACGUUACACUAGUUCAAUUUUUUGAGUUCACAUUUGUUUCUCAAUCUUGGCUUAGCUGAUGCAUUCCGAGCUUAUUCUGCUAAAUUAUUAUGUAUUUGCCCAAAGCAAAGAACUUUUAAUGCACAGAGUUUAUGGGCUAUUCUCUAUAACUUUAAGGAAAAUGAAAUUAUUUAUACCUGGAGUAGGAAAUCCUUAAGUAGGAUAAAAAAAAAAAA